rnacentral:rRNA from 1 species
UGGGGAAUAUUGGACAAUGGGCGAAAGCCUGAUCCAGCCAUGCCGCGUGUGUGAAGAAGGUCUUCGGAUUGUAAAGCACUUUAAGUUGGGAGGAAGGGCAGUAAGCGAAUACCUUGCUGUUUUGACGUUACCGACAGAAUAAGCACCGGCUAACUCUGUGCCAGCAGCCGCGGUAAUACAGAGGGUGCAAGCGUUAAUCGGAAUUACUGGGCGUAAAGCGCGCGUAGGUGGUUCGUUAAGUUGAAUGUGAAAGCCCCGGGCUCAACCUGGGAACUGCAUACAAAACUGGCGAGCUAGAGUAGGGCAGAGGGUGGUGGAAUUUCCUGUGUAGCGGUGAAAUGCGUAGAUAUAGGAAGGAACACCAGUGGCGAAGGCGACCACCUGGGCUCAUACUGACACUGAGGUGCGAAAGCGUGGGGAGCAAAAAGG